GAUAGAGGCCUACCAUGGUGGUAACGGGUAGCGGGGUGUUAGGGCACGACACCGGAGAGGGAGCCUGAGAAACGGCUACCACAUCCAAGGAUGGCAGCAGGCGCGCAAAUUACCCAAUCCCGACACGGGGAGGUAGUGACAAUAAAUAACAAUACGGGGUUCUUUAGGAUCUCGUAAUUGGAAUGAGUACAAUUUAAAUCUCUUAACGAGGAACAAUUGGAGGGCAAGUCUGGUGCCAGCAGCCGCGGUAAUUCCAGCUCCAAUAGCGUAUAUUAAAGUUGUUGCAGUUAAAAAGCUCGUAGUUGAAUUUCGGGGUUAGUAGGUUGGUCAUGCCUCUGGUAUGUACUGGUCUCACUGAUUCCUCCUUCCUGAUGAGCCGUAAUGCCAUUAAUUUGGUGUUGCGGGGAAUUUGGACUGUUACUUUGAAAAAAUUAGAGUGUUUAAAGCAAGCUAACGCUUGAAUACAUUAGCAUGGAAUAAUGAAAUAGGACGUUCGAUCCUAUUUUGUUGGUUUCUAGGAUUGACGUAAUGAUUAAUAGGGAUAGUUGGGGGCAUUAGUAUUCAAUUGUCAGAGGUGAAAUUCUUGGAUUUAUUGAAGACUAACUACUGCGAAAGCAUUUGCCAAGGAUGUUUUCAUUAAUCAAGAACGAAAGUUAGGGGAUCGAAGACGAUCAGAUACCGUCGUAGUCUUAACCAUAAACUAUGCCGACUAGGGAUCGGAUGAUGUUAAUUUUUUAAUGACUCAUUCGGCGCCUUACGGGAAACCA
rnacentral:rRNA from 1 species